AUUGAACGCUGGCGGCAUGCUUUACACAUGCAAGUCGAACGGUAACAGGCCGCAAGGUGCUGACGAGUGGCGAACGGGUGAGUAAUGCAUCGGAACGUGCCCAGUCGUGGGGGAUAACGCAGCGAAAGCUGUGCUAAUACCGCAUACGAUCUGUGGAUGAAAGCGGGGGACCGUAAGGCCUCGCGCGAUUGGAGCGGCCGAUGUCAGAUUAGGUAGUUGGUGGGGUAAAGGCUCACCAAGCCGACGAUCUGUAGCUGGUCUGAGAGGACGACCCGCCACAAUGGGACUGAGACACGGCCCAGACUCCUACGGGAGGCAGCAGUGGGGAAUUUUGGACAAUGGGCGCAAGCCUGAUCCAGCAAUGCCGCGUGCAGGAAGAAGGCCUUCGGGUUGUAAACUGCUUUUGUACGGAGCGAAAAGGCUCUCUCUAUUACAGGGGGCUCAUGACGGUACCGUAAGAAUAAGCACCGGCUAACUACGUGCCAGCCGCCGCGGUAAUAC
rnacentral:rRNA from 1 species